UUUACUGUAGUCUACCAAUGGAAAGUGUUUUUACAUUGUUAGGCUGAUUUCUGAAAGAGUAAUGUGAUUAAAUGUUGCAGUGUGGACGAAGUAAGUUUAUUUUGUACAAAUUAUAUUUUUUUCAUUUGGCUCCACAUCUUGGUGAGGGAAUACAUAAGUCUACACUAUCACCACCAUGUAUUAAUAAACACUUGAUUGACAGAAAAGUCACUUUAAGAACAGUAGCCUAAUUAUUUUUACAGAUAUUGUAUUUACAUGUCAAUUCAGUAUCAGAAUCUCAGUACUUGGCAGUACUCACUCUCAAAAAAAUGAAAUCUCACUAUUGCUCAUCUUAAUGAAUCCUUUUUCGUAGGAUUUACACAAUAAAAUUAGGUUUCUAGGUGAAAAGGAGUCAGUUAUACGAAAUGCAUUCGUGUUUGGAGGAAAUAUGUCACUCUAUGGUCGCCGUAGAAGCAUUAUUUCAAAACGCACAAACGAGGGUCUCUGGCUGUGGCAGGUCUGCCUCUUCUCCCUCACUCGUGGAUUGUAAGACGUGGGAGUGCAGAGUGCAAGACAUCAGCGUCAUUGAGGUCUCUCUUACAGAAGCAUUACAGAUGUGCAGAAUUUCACACGCAUUGUGCAGCUGAAGUCCAAGUUUAUGCCAGAACUUGACAUCUGCUCCAGGCUGUCUGCUGAGUGCCAUAGGAAGGGAGGAGAAACAAGACAUAAGAUUAAGGAGAUCAUGGCUGCCAUUGAUCGGGUUAGUGAGAAGUUGUUUUGUGCCUCCCACUUUGAAAACCAAUAUUAGGCCAUGAGCUACAGGGCCGUAACAUGCACCUGUCAACGAAACAUUUUUGACCAUGCUGACAUGACGAAUUUGAAUGUUAACAUUUACAUUUUUGGGUUGCACUACCUGUUUCUACCCCAUGAAUAGAUUUGCAUUGAAGAUCAAUGUGUUCCAAAAAAUCUCUCAAUACAUUGGAAAUGCAUUAUAUGAACCUCUACAUGUGAUUACGUAAACACACCUUGUCACAUGCCCCACCUCUCUCUAAGU